AUUGCAGAAAAUGACUUUCUCUUUCCAGUGCCUACGAAGCCCUCUUCUCCAAAUGCUGUGUAAAUAGUUGAAAAUAAAGCCCGAAACCUCUCUGUAAACAUACAGGAAAUCAGUAGAAGAUUCAUUAAGGCGCAGUAUCCAAGCUCAUAGUCCUGCGUAAAGACACUGCCUGCUACAAUAUCCGGGUUCUGGGAGUGGAAGGAACCCCAGAGAGAGCCAGUCAUCAUUGUCUGGUGCAUGAAUCUUCCACUAGUGCUGUCAACAACGGAACCCUUCUAAAGAAAUUCGACCCCCGUCACUAAAUCCCAGCAUCUUCUGCUAGAACUCUGAUGCUGACUAACACUGUUAUUAGCAUGAACCUAUUCCACAGGCAUACAGAAAGUAGACACUUUGUCAGUGAUAUACAAGUCUGCCAAUUUUCAGGAGCCUAUUAAAUGCUGAUUUGAAAAGAGAACGACCCCUCCAGGUAUUCUUCGCUUAUCUCCUGCCAAUUCUCUUCAGCCUCAAUGGCAGACCUUGGUUGGGGAAAAAUGGAAAAGAUCAUCAGGCAUUUAAACUUUACCUUUGAAAGGCUAAGAAGGUAAAUGAAAGAGGAAUAUAUUGGCCUUCUUGCAGGAAGACUUCAUAUUUCACUGUCACAGUGCAGGUCCAUCCAACAUCAGCGGUUUCCUUCACUUGUCUCUACACGCUUGGAAUUAGAAGAGCAAUUGACUCACAUGUCCAGACUAGUCAAUGGAAGAAAGAGAGAAAAAGAGAGAGAGAGAAGAGAAUGCAAGCCAGUGGGGAGAUGGGAAGCAUCGGAAGCAGGCUCCAUGCUCAGUGCUGAGGCCGAUGUGGGGUUCUAUCUCACAAUCAUGACCUAAGCUGAAAUUAAGAAUCAGACGCUUAACCACCUGUGCCACCCAGGCACCCCCAUUUGUUUCUAUAAUAUGAAUUUCCCAAUACUACAGUAUGUUUUUGAAGCAAAAAGAUGUAACAAAAAGAUGAAAGACAAUGAGAAGAGAUGAAAGACAAGCCACAGAGUAGGAGAAAAUAUUUGUAAAAGAUAUAAUUUGAUAAAGCACUGUUAUCCAAAAUAUACAGAGAACUCUCAAUCUCUAGCCAGAAUAAAGCAAAUAGUCCAAUUAAAAAAUGAGCCAAAGGCCUUAACAGACACCUCACCAAAGAAGAUAUACCCUUGGCAAAUAAACAUAUGAAAAGAUGCUCCACAUUGUAUGUCAUAAGGGAAAUGCAAAUUAAAACAAUAACCAGACCACUACACACUUAUUAGAACGGCGAAAUCUAGAACACUGACAAUAUCAAAUGCUGGCCAAGUGAUGGAGCAACAGAACUGCCCUUCAUUGCUACUGAGAAUGGUGCUGCUACUUCUGAAGAUAGUUAAGCGGUUUCUCGCAAAACCAAACACAGUCUUACCAUCUGCCCCAGCAAUCAUGCUUGUUGGUAUUUACCAAUGGGUGUUGAAAACUCAUGUCUACACAAGCUGCACAUGGAUCUUUAGAGUGGCUUUAUUCAUAAUUGAUAUAAUUUGAAAGUAACCAAGAUGUUCUUCAGAAGGACAGAUUGGUGGAAUAGAAGACAUCAUAAGAAGUCUGUUCUAACAACCUCAUUUUCUGGAGGACAAUAUAAAACAAAGAUGAGGACUUACCUAAAACAUCAAAGACCAAAACCAGUAGAACAAGACUUAGAGCCCAUGGAGUUUGUUUCUAAAUCCAGUAUUCCUUCUCCCUUUUAGCAUUUCUUCUUAAAAGGCAAAGAUAUUCCUAAAUCCACAAGACAUCCCUGAUGCCAGACUUCUCAGAGCUUUUCCAGUGAAAGCAUAUGUUUUACUGAAGAUCAGUCAGCACAAUUCCACUGGCUAGAGUUCUGGUAACCAAACAAGGUCAAAAAGAGGUGGCAAUAUCAAUGUCACUAGCUUGGACAAGAAUGGAGAGUAAAACAUAUUCUAAAACUGAA